rnacentral:rRNA from 1 species
CCUACGGGUGGCAGCAGUAGGGAAUAUUGCACAAUGGGGGAAACCCUGAAGCAGCAACGCCGCGUGAAGGAAGAAGGUUUUCGGAUUGUAAACUUCUUUUGUCAGAGAAGAUUAUGACGGUAUCCCAGGAAUAAGCACCGGCUAACUCCGUGCCAGCAGCCGCGGUAAUACGGAGGGUGCAAGCGUUAUACGGAAUCACUGGGGGUAAAGAGGGCGUAGGCGGGGUUACAAGUCAGAUGUGAAAGCCCGGGGCUUAACCCCAGAACUGCAUUUGAAACUGUGUUUCUCGAGGAUUGGAGAGGCAGGUGGAAUUCCUGGUGUAGCGGUAAAAUGCGUAGAUAUUAGGAGGAACACUAGUGGCGAAGGCGGCCUGCUGGACAGUAACUGACGGUGAUGCGCGAAAGCGUGGGGAGCAAACAGGAUUAGAUACCCCUGUAGUC